rnacentral:rRNA from 1 species
ACAGAGAAUAUCGCCCUCACGGGUGACUCUCCAACCCUAUGUUAUUAUACCUUUGUUGCUUUGGCGGGCCGCCUCGGCCACCGGCUCACGCUGGUGAGUGCCCGCCAGAGGACCCCAAACUCUGAAUAUUAGUGUCGUCUGAGUACUAUAUAAUAGUUAAAACUUUCAACAACGGAUCUCUUGGUUCUGGCAUCGAUGAAGAACGCAGCGAAAUGCGAUAAGUAAUGUGAAUUGCAGAAUUCAGUGAAUCAUCGAAUCUUUGAACGCACAUUGCGCCCUGUGGUAUUCCGCAGGGCAUGCCUGUUCGAGCGUCAGUACAACACUCAAGCUCAGCUUGGUAUUGAGCCGCGUCCGCAAGGGCCGGCUUUAAAAUCAGUGGCGGUGCCGUUGUGGCCCUGAGCGCAGUAAAUAUCCUCGCUAUAGGGACACGGUGGUUGCUUGCCAAUAACCCCCAACUUUCCAAGUUUGACCUCGGAUCAGGUAGGGAUACCCGCUGAACUUAA